UCAUUCGACAUCGUGAUGGAGGACAUAGCUUACGAUCAUCGGCUUUGAUCAUGCCACUAGGCAUUUGAUUAGGACAUUGCACAAUGAUCCGAACACUUUGUCGCAUCUCUUCGAUACGGAUACAGUAACGAUCAUAGCGAUCCCCUCUGGUACCUACUGGUACGUCAGGAUCCGAUUGGUCAUGAACAUCGUAAGGUGCUGCUCUUCGCGAAUCCCAACAUACCCCUGGUUGGAAUGGGUAGGCCCACCACUUCACUUUCACUUAGGCCCAGGCCAAGUCAGUGGGGGGACCCUGUCGGGCUCCUUCCCCCCAAAAAAACAAACUGUACGUGAGAGUUUCCCUUCAUACGGCUCGAAUCAUUCUCAGAUGCCCCGAGAGGCAUCCUUUCCUUGUUUGUUGGGUUGGUUCACGCGCGCGCAAACGAGCACCGGCCGCAACAGCAGGGAACUAUGACCAAUAGAGUAAGACACUUAGCUACAUCCGCACGCAAAAGGAAUGUGGUUCUGGUUGAGGCUUUCUUUCCCUUAUUAGUAAAGGGGGCGCGGGACGUUCGCGGAGUCCGUGCCUUCCGUACCACCACAAGACUGGUCGUUCUUGGGCGGAUCCCGCUCCUAAACAUAAGGGAUAGGGGGAAGGGCCUAUCAUAUCAAAAGGGUUGUAAAAAGAGAACCCGAUCGCCUAUUUCAUUCGACGUUCCGGGACAAGCCCGAUUCGACCUACUUUUGGAUAACAAGAAGGCGAGCGGAUCUGCUUUGAUCAAGGAAAAAGCCCAGUCAGCCACCAACUCGGUGCAGGUCACGUGACCUACAGCUCGGCCUUCGCUUUUUGAGGUUUCCUCUACCCACAUCUCUAUGUGCCCGCAGCACUUCCAUAUGGAGAAAGAUAGGCUUACCAUGUUCCAUCAAUAGCACCUAACCUAUGCCGAUUUUGGCGGACCGUGCUCCACCCCGGUGAACUCAUGCGGUUCCGACGUGCCUAGAGGGCAGAGGCGAAUCCGUUCACGGUCCGUAGGACCAACACCAUUCGAAGGUGGGUGGCCCGCCCCGCCUAGAACAGUCAUGUUUGACUGGGCUUACACACAUUCGCUCACUUACGCUGUCCCCCCUCAGCUCACCCUAGCCCCGGGCCUUUUGCUCUUAUAACGUAAGCUCCAAGGCUUCACACCAAGUCUUCACUGACAUAAUAUGCAUGCUUAAGUAGGGUCAGGCAGAACCGUUGUUGCCUGAUGGGAACUUCCCCCAUAUUGCUNNNNNNNNNNNNNNNNNNNNNNNNNNNNNNNNNNNNNNNNNNNNNNNNNNNNNNNNNNNNNNNNNNNNNNNNNNNNNNNNNNNNNNNNNNNNNNNNNNNNAUCAAUAUCUCGACAUAAGCCAAGAGGCAGAUCUUGUGCCACUCCACCUGGUCGUAUGAAACUGGCAUGCAUCCUGGCUCCCGAGACUCUUUCAUAGAAUUCCAACAAUUUCUCCCGCUCCUCGGAAGCCCACAGGGACGGAGUUGAUGCUCCCACAUCCAUAGCAUGAGUAGUUAAAGCAAGUGAAUGAUUUGAAAUUCGAGUUAUUUCACGGAAUAACACUCGUAUAUAUUGAGCUCGUAAUGGUACCUCGCAAUUCAAAAGUCUCUCUACGGCUGAAGAAUGAGCGUGCUCUUGGGCCAUCGUAGAAACAUAGAUAGGGUCGACGACGGAACGAACAACGAAACUUUACGACAGCUUUUUCGUACACGUUCACUUGCAUCACAUACACAAGUGCUCUCUGAACCGUGCAAUAAGGUCACCCAUAACACGGCUCUCCCACUUUAGUUACCUUAGCCCCAGGCCAUGCUAUUCAAUAAUAUUGGAAAAAUGGCAGCGUAACGUAACAACUAGUAUUGAAAGCUGGUCGCCUUUUGAGGGAGAGAAAGUGUUUCAAUAGGAGCCCUACUUCCCCUCUCGGAGCCCACUAAGAUCAUAGAUCAGCCUGCUUAAGAUCUACAACCACUUCUUAUCAAAGAUCAGCCUGCCUAAGAUCGUAGGGGAGCACCCUGAUCGUUCCGACCAGCUUGCCUAAGAUCGUAGGGGAGCACCCUGAUCGUUCCGACCAGCCUGAUCGUAGAUCACCCUCAUCACUUCAAUGAAAGCGCAAACCAAUUUAUUUCUUAGUCACCAGGCGGAGCGCACCUUUGGUACUUCAGUAGGGCGAGCUGUUUGAUAGUGACUUCUUUCGUUUGGUAGGGCGACGAAAGGCUACUUCAAUCUAGGAAACAGCCGGAAACUCGAGAAACUUUGGAAGCGUUCGCUGGUAACCAAAGCGUAUCGUUCCCGCAACCACUUUGGUACUUUGCUUAACACUUUUUUAGGUUAUGCAAUAGAAGGGGGGCUUGCGCUUGAAUUGAAGUAGCGCCUUUGGAAUAUGAGUAGGGCUCCUAGGUGGCGCGUUCGUGGAGGCAAACCGAAGGAAGAGCAAAAGGAAGGUUAGGUGCUUGUGGGGCGAGGCCACCCGACCUCGAAUAGGAGGGGGGCUUAGCUCUGGAUCCUCCCUGCUUACAGAAAUGAAUGGAUCAGAAGGGGGCUGGGUUCUAUUUCCAGGCCGGGCUGGAGGUGAAGGCCAUAAGAUAAGAUUGCCCUCCCGGUAAGGAAGAGAGGAAAAAGGUGCUGUCAUCUAUCUCGACCAGUUUCCCGAGGCGUUGGAAAUCCAGACCGGCUCAGAGAAUCACUGGCGCUAUUUAGCCCUUCGUUUCGCCAACAAAGAAGUCAUCCUUGACGAUUUCCCAUUCCUUCCCUGCCGAGCCGCCUCUUUUCGCCAUUCGAAGUACUUCCUCCGCCUUCCUUUUCUAUAACCCAGGCGCCCUCCUUUCCAAUCACUAAGAAAAAAUCAAUACCAAUCAAAUCAAAGCCCUAUCUAAGUCAAGCUUCGUCUGUUAUUUUUCGGGCCCCAGGGGAGUUUACUCGACCCAUUCUCCAGUCUCCCGCACUGCUCAAGUAAGUGUGCGACUCCGUAUGAGGACCUCCUUCCCUUCUGCCCACUCUCCGUUCACACGGUUCUCAAAGCAGAGGGGGAAGGGUGGGCAGCAGGUACCACGAGCCCUCUGUCCCACACAUCUAUCCAGAAGCAAGUGUAGUUCACCGGUUCCACCGAAUGCUCCUAUCUCUCGGCAAAGAUCGUGUGAGUGUGCAGUUAUGCUUCGGAUGCUUCGCCAUAGAAUAGAUCGACCCAGUUCCCGUUCUUUUCCGGUGCACUCGCUUUAUAUCUCCGACACACAAGGAAGGACGCGGUGGGAAGGAAGCAGCCCUAGCCUCUGUCCGACCGAUCAUUCCGCUGGCAUCUUGCAUUCACGACCCCGUUUGACUGCCGCUCGGGGAUGUAGUUGUAGAUACGUUAGUCUUAGUGGGUCGUUGGCUCCACCUGUUAUCUCCUUCUACGACAUGCUGUUGUCGUCGCCAUAUUCCAUAUGUCACUUAGUCAUCUCUGCCUCGCUACGGGUCAGCACCUCCGAAAGAAACGGAGGACUUCAUUCAGUGACUCCGCGAUCGCCCUCUGAACGAUCAGAAUAAGGUAAAGCUUGAAGAUAAGUUUUGUACUCUAUUAAUUUCUCAGUCCCUCUAGUCGGGUGGGCGCCGGCCGGUCUUUCGACCAGAUCCCCCUAAAAACCGUACGUGCGGGUCUCCUCGCAUACGGCUCACGCCAUUCGAGGUGGCCCAGCCCUGCAUUCAUUCGCAAAUCCUGUAGUGAAAUUGAGACUGCUCGACCUCGGAAGCUAAUUCGUGUGUAGGCGGCGCUGUCUGUCGUACCCUUGACUCUAUCUAUUCAUUGAAUUUGCUUUAUUACAUUAUAUAGGCUCGCUCCCUCUUUUCCAAGAAUUCAAGCACUUCCCUUUACUCCAUAGGGCCUUCUCUAUAUAGGGGAAAAGCCUUCCAUUUCCGUCAAAUGACCCGGCCUCCCCUGGCUCUUCCACCAUCCGGGCUCCCUUUCCUCCCUAUGUUAUGCUCCUCCGGCGCAGGCCUACCACGCUUCGCGCCUGCGGCCUUUUCGCCAGACGGUCUUUGCCAGUAGUGCCAUCCUCCCCGCUGGCUGUAUGGGCGGGUUGUCCCUCGGUGUUCUGUUAGGCUAUGGAUUAUAGAAACAAAUGUAGUUGAAUGGGACAGCAGGCGGGUUACACGUUCCACUGUGCCGAGAUGUGAGGUGCAGGUGGUGAUGAUCACCCCGGGGUAUGCGCUAGCGCCCUUGACAGGCACUCCAGGACCCGCCAACGCUCAUGAAAACCCGGGUCGGUCCUCCCCGACCGAAGGUGUGGAUAACGAGGCCACCUUCACAACCUUCUCCCUUCUGCCCCUAUGUUGUAGUAAGGUAGGGCGGUUCGCUUGAGUUGCUCAACCGCCCCUUAGCCCGGUGCUCAUGACGCGCUACGGAACCUCCACCGUGCCGGGGGACCAAGCAGGGCAUAGCUAGCGGCAUAGGAGCCGACUCGGCGUCAGCGGCUUCGUGCCGCACUGGAGUGAUCCAAUAUGUGGUUCCGCACAUUCCACCACUUCUCCGUUCAUUUCCAAUACUGAUCGUGAAACACCAUGAGCAGCAGAAUGUUGAGGUCUAGAAUUCAAAGUGAAAUUUGUGAUUUGCCCGUUCCUAGUUGUCAUGGAAAAGAAAGGCAGAAAUAAGAAAGAGAUUAUUCCCUGAGAGCUUGUCCAGUACUACCAGUACCAGAAAUGCAUCUCCUUCGCCCGCGCGCGAUAGCUCUACCUGGCGUGCCGCCUUGCAUGCAAGCGAAGCGCUAUUGGCGGCAAUAAAUAGCUCACUGAGCGAUGAUUGAUGCAGCCCCUACCUCUGAAAGCUGAAGGAAGGCAGUGCCCUCGAUUGUUCCAGAGAGAAGGAUCAUGGCGCCUUAGAACCGUGACAUCCAACAGCUGCAUCUCCUUGCGCGCGAGAGACUUCUAUGCCAGCUGUUAUUCUCGGCUCUGUUAUGAAAGAAAGCGGCAGAAAAGAAAGACUAAGAAGAUGAGUCUUUCCGGUAUUCCCUAAUGAGUGGCUUUAGGAGAGUAGGGUCCUCCCAACUAUUCUCCACCCAUCUGCGGAGGGUUUCCGUAUCCGUCUCCGCAGAGAUCUCAAAAUCGUAAGACAUUAUUCUACUCGCGCUAUUGGAGUAGAGCUCCCUUAUUUCGGGAAAGUGCACGGACUGCCGCCCCCUUCCCCUUUCACAAUGUUCCCAAACUUGCUCACAAAUCAAAGUGUGAAUGGCACUUCGAAGUGCCGCACGCUCUUCUUGAUCGGGAGCUUGUUUUGUUGGGGAACUUCAGCCGGUGCUGGCACCUGCGGCAGCGCCUCUUGAGCCGCGUGAAAUAUUUGGUGUAAAAACUCAAACAAAUAAAUCCAUAGAAAAUGAAAAUUCGAUUCCGUUCCCUUAGCUGGGACUCUUUCUUUAUGGUUAUGGAGAUGGAGGUUAGUUGUUAACUAACAAAAGAUUGGGAGUGGUAUAGAGGAUUUUAAACUGAGGUUGCUCGUAGAUCAAGAAAAGUUCGAAGUCAAUUCAUUCCUUUUUUUUUUUACGAAAUUUGAGUUGGAAAUGCUUUAAGCGCGUAUUGAUACUGAGACUUCUUAAGUUAAGUUGAGGGAGGAGGUUUUCGGGUUCGCCCUUCCCCUUGGGCUUUAUCUUAUCUUCUUAUUUAGUUGAAAAUACAACUUGUACUUUUGAAUGCACUUGUUCUGUAGAAAAGCUAGUACCUUGUUAGCAUUGCAACAACACGAAUAGAGAGCGAAAUACUGGAAUACUCUGGGAAGGAGCGCCUUCCACUCCAAUAAAUGAUAGGACAGCUUUUGGUGCCUACUCUCGCAGAACGGAAGGAAAGCUUAGACCUUACUAAAGGGGUGGUUUUCCUUUUUUUGAUAGGCUUUUAUGGGAGCUAUAUAUUAUUUUCAUUUUUUAGAGAUAUGAAAACCUUUAUAUUAAAAAGAAAAUCCAAGUCCUAUAUAUUCAAGAGACGUGGCCACCACUAAAGAAAGGGAAACCUACUAUUUAUCCUACUAUAGUAUAGGUUUAGUCCUACUAUAUAGUUAUAGUACUGGAAAAGCGGAGGGCGCCUACUACUUUCCUAAGAAAAUAAUAUGUGAUUCAAUCUAAACCUGGAUCUACCUAGUUUUCUCGGGACGCUGCAUAAGGGCUCAACAAUUCGCCGCCAGCUACUCAACAUAUUCGUAUCUGGGCUUUUCCACUACUCGGGACAGAGCUUUUCAGCAUUAGAGAAUUGAUACCGCUUACCGAAGGUCCCUAUCUUGGUCCAUGGUGAGCAACUUCGGGUCCGUCCAUAGCACUUCCAUCCAUCCCUCUAACGAUCGGCAUCAGAAUCGGCCUGUCCGUUCAGUUCAGUCCACAUCCUCUUUGUCUUAUGAAUUCUCUCUCUGCCUUCCAGGUCUAGGUACAUAUCCGCAUGUCCAUAAAUCAGGCAAUCGGUAACAGUAAGAUAACGAGGGGGCUGUCGCACGCUUCAAACCGCAUUAAGAAAUAUAUAGUUAGUUGCAUUUGGUGACAUUUCAUCUAAAGACCCUCUCCCGGAGGAUCGAGUUACUUUAUUUCUAGUAUAGGGUGGUCGUAGAUCAGAUGUGCAGCAAGGCAAGACAGCACCAUUACGAAUAAGUCAAGCUCUUCCCUAUCCACUUCGGUUCAGUCAAGGCUGCAUUGAAGAUGCAGGUAUUGAAUUCAGUCAUAAAACAGUUGUGCCUCGAAUCUCCCCCUCUCUUUUAAUUCGUCUUUCUGAUUGCGACCCCAAGAACCACCCUCAGUCAAGGCUGUCCAGAUCAGUGGACAGAUUUAAGAUAUCUUCCCACCAAAAAGUCCUUAUAUUAGCACCAUUAUUGUCCCCAUAUACACCUAUCAGAAGAAAACUGAAAUUGCUCUCUAUUAUUCUGCACUGACAAUGUAGCAUUUGGUUGGUUUCCUUUAUGACAUUCACCUGCAUAACAUCAGUAUCCCAACAAUCCAUAACCCUACUUGUUUGGGCAGCAGUCAAAAUUAGCCACGUAAUCCGCUCUCCAUUUCCUCUUAAAUUUCUUAAUUCAAACACAGUUUAGUCUCAGACAAGUAAUGAGAAAUUAUUAGAUGAUAUGAGAUCACUCACCUCAUAGUGCUUUUUAUAUGAAUUUCAUCUUAAAACAUUCCAUGCUGCCAGCUUCAUGAGGAGUAUCCGAUUCAGUCUGCUCCGCAGCCAUCAAGUCUUUCUCCUGGAUUGAAAGAUUUUUGCACCUUCUUUUGUUUGGAAGGGCUUGUAUGAAAGUUGGGGGUGGAGCUUUCUUUUUCUUCCUCCACUCUUUUGUCUUUUGAUCUUGUUAAUGGAGGUUGCACUUUGAGAAUGACUAUAGUGCUCUUAUUUGUCACUGUCCCAGUACCAAAUACAUCUGUCCUAGGUUGAGGAUUUUGGAUCAGAUCCAUUUCAGCACCCUUACUGCCCUGUUCAACACCUCUGCCACAUACUCUUCAUCCGGAGGCCUCUCAGCAGUUCUUGAAGCAUCAGCUAUGGUUUCUGAUCUGCCUUCUUGAAUCAGGUNNNNNNNNNNNNNNNNNNNNNNNNNNNNNNNNNNNNNNNNNNNNNNNNNNNNNNNNNNNNNNNNNNNNNNNNNNNNNNNNNNNNNNNNNNNNNNNNNNNNNNNNNNNNNNNNNNNNNNNNNNNNNNNNNNNNNNNNNNNNNNNNNNNNNNNNNNNNNNNNNNNNNNNNNNNNNNNNNNNNNNNNNNNNNNNNNNNNNNNNNNNNNNNNNNNNNNNNNNNNNNNNNNNNNNNNNNNNNNNNNNNNNNNNNNNNNNNNNNNNNNNNNNNNNNNNNNNNNNNNNNNNNNNNNNNNNNNNNNNNNNNNNNNNNNNNNNNNNNNNNNNNNNNNNNNNNNNNNNNNNNNNNNNNNNNNNNNNNNNNNNNNNNNNNNNNNNNNNNNNNNNNNNNNNNNNNNNNNNNNNNNNNNNNNNNNNNNNNNNNNNNNNNNNNNNNNNNNNNNNNNNNNNNNNNNNNNNNNNNNNNNNNNNNNNNNNNNNNNNNNNNNNNNNNNNNNNNNNNNNNNNNNNNNNNNNNNNNNNNNNNNNNNNNNNNNNNNNNNNNNNNNNNNNNNNNNNNNNNNNNNNNNNNNNNNNNNNNNNNNNNNNNNNNNNNNNNNNNNNNNNNNNNNNNNNNNNNNNNNNNNNNNNNNNNNNNNNNNNNNNNNNNNNNNNNNNNNNNNNNNNNNNNNNNNNNNNNNNNNNNNNNNNNNNNNNNNNNNNNNNNNNNNNNNNNNNNNNNNNNNNNNNNNNNNNNNAAGUCAGAGUGGAAUUGCCCUCAGAGUCAUUAUGAAAUCAAACUUAGCACAAGUCUUGUCAGUUGUUCGAAAGGGAAAAGGGAUCUCAUAAAAAAGACUAUUACGAGAAAUGUAGAUGCGGUUCGACUUGGGAUCAAGUUUAUCCUUUCUAUACGGACCAAGGGAUAUGGAUAGCAUGCACACCCAAAGACCUUAAAGUGAGAGGUUCACCAUGAUGGGGGGUGGAGAACAAAACAAAACUUCAUGAGGAGAGCGAUUAUCAAGAAAAGGCCUUGGGAUGGGAGCCUUUGAAUAAGAGAGGAAGGCACUAAGACCCGCUAGAAGGACUCUAAGGGAAGAAAGAAAGCCGUCCUAGUGAGGUGCAAUGCUGAAACUGUGAUCGGUAAACAAACCCUACAGAAGUCGGAAUGGGAUACUUUAAAAAGGAAGUAGCACCGGCGGUUAACUAUACAUAGCCUUUCUGAGUUGCGUUUGGGUAUGGAAUGGAUAGGCCAUAAGUGGCUGCCUCUCAUACUACCAAUUGUGUGGGUGGAUCAUCGCCCCUUCAUUCUGGCUCUACUUCAUUCGAUAUUAACAAGACGACACACGCAAGACAAGAUGUCAAAUCAAUAAUAAAACUGGCCCUUGAAAGGUGUAGAUGAAGCCUUUUCCUUUUCUGCCGGAAAACACUUGAAGGAUACGAGGCAUAAUACUAUUGAUCGAACUUCUUAAGAGGGAACCGCUACUGCAGCCAAUCCAUUGAAAGGUGAAGGCAAUGCUAAAUGCAGAUGCAGACCGAUUGGGUUCUCCCCUUUGCUAGGGGGUGAUGUUCCCAGGUUUUUCGCGAAUGUGAGGUUCAAGUACUGCCAUCCUUUGUUGGUUGAGUUCGCUGUGUAAUUUCAACAAUGCCUUUCGAAGCCGAAAAGGCCGUAGCUGCAUCUUUCGAGAAAAGAAAGAAUAGGUGUCACGCCGAUGAUUAGGAGAAGGUAUCUUAUGGCUUAGGGAAGGGCGCUUCUGCCCAGAUCUAUGAUUGAUCUAGGAUUCCCCGAGACGAGACGAACUGUCGAUUCCCCGAUAAAUGUCAAUGACUUAAACAUGUUUCCGAGACUUCAACAUACAUGUUUGGCAGCGGCAAGGAGUGUUUUUGACUUCCUAACACGGAUACCAAGGCAGCUGAGCAGUGCAGUGAGGAAUAGGAUUACUUUUCCUUUCAGUUUCGAAGCAAGCUGCGGUACAAUCCCUCCUUCGCUCCGGCUCGUUCCGAGCUCGCGAGCGAAGUUUUGGCAUGUCAAGUCUUGUAAUACCUUUUCCUACUCCUGAGCUACCAUGAGUUUAGAAUCUUCAUUGAGCUUUAUCCGCUUCAAUAAGGUAUUACACUAGCCUUCUCAAUAACCUUACCGGCAAUGUUGGGAGGAGAAGUUCUAGUCGCUUCCCCCUUUGCCUAUCUUCCUGCUCUGCCAGUAUACCUCCUUGAAAACCAUCCUUCCCGGUUAGUCUUCGUAAGAACAAAGCAUGGAAAGACUGUCCGUCUAAUACAACUAAUAAGUAGUAUUCCCUCCCUAAAGCGAAGCUCAGCUCGGCGAUAAAGAAGAUUACUCUUUCGUCAUAAAUCGUAUCCGUAGCUCAGUCGCUAGUACGGAGAUUGCACCACAAGGGCAGAGAAGUAGUUUACUUGUGAAAACUUCACUAUAGACUGCUUUCUUAGCCAAAAACUCUAUCUCUAAGAAGUAGUGCUAUGAGGAGGCUCUUUGCUUCUUUCGUCCCAUCGAGUAAAUACCAGGCUAGCCCCUCAAACUCUUAAAAAGAAGCCUUCCUUGACUACUUGUCUUUCUACUCCUAGUUCGGAUGGAAACCCGGAUGAGACAAUAGAAGAAAGCACUACUUGAAAGAAAUCUAGCAAGAAGUUCCUUGCCUUAGUCCGUUUUCAGUCAAGUAAUCUUCUUACCGCUCCGUGUGAACGAACGAUUCUAAGAUUAGGAAUGAAGGUAUGUUUACGAUUCCGCGCAUCUGCUUAUAUAAUAGUAUAUAAAGAUUCAAGUUAGAAUAGGAGUGGGAGUUGAUUCGUCUCGGGACCCCAAGAACUACGGUUAGCUCUUUUGGAAGUGAAUGAGGAAUAGGGAGAAUCGAUCAAAGCCUAUAAUUACUAACAGCAAAAUAUUGACUAUGCAAAAGACCACUCGAUUAGCUGGCUAAAAGCCCUCUUCGGAGCAUAAAAAUGAAGUAUUAUGUAAGGAGAUUACUUGCAAAAUUCUCCCUUAGGUAUGAAGUGUCUGGUCCGAUAGGACUGAACUACCUUAUAAUCCGUUGUUAGCGUUUAGCUUGGCACUCAGAAAGAAGAGUCUCUAUCACCUUAUUUAUAGGAAUAGGAUAAUUUUUUUAGUGGGCAGCUGUUGUUUAGCGAUUACGCAUAGCCCUUUGUCUUUCAAAAUCUGUGAGCUAUGCCAAUACAGACCUUAUCCCACGAAAGGUGAACCCGGAUGUACAGAAACUUUCUUGUUCACACUUAUCGGCUUUCAAAAGAGGAACGGAGAGACUUGACCGAUAACAAAAGAAAAGAAGAGAAAGGGACGGGACUUCUACGAGCUCUCCAAAACAGGCUAACAGUCUGGCUUGUCUUUGCCCCUGCCCUGCCUUAGCUUUCCUCUUUGGACUUCUUUUAAGAUUCUGGUCUACCUGCCCGCUUUUCGCCUUGGGAAAGACCUAGCGAUUGCCGGGGCAUAUGAAGAAUACUUUGAAACUGCUGGAUGCGGAAGAUAGAUUUUAUGUUGGAAAUGCCACUCCUUCUACUGCUAUUCCCACUUCUGGAACGAAGUGUUUUUCAAUAUAAUAGAAAAACACUUUCCCUAAGAACCAGCUAUCAAAAAAGCUAUCUCCUAAUCCCUAGCCUUUGUCUGCUUUAGCCUUUGACACUGCAGGUUUGAAAACAACGAACUCACCUGGACCACCGGUUUCGCCAUCGAAGGAAAUAAUGGACUUAUGCUUUCGAAUGAAGACUCUUCAUAAAAUUUUUCCUACAGCAGGCGAAGAGUUCUCUCUUCACUUCAUUCUUGUAAUGUACCUUGGGUACACUGAACACAAAUCCCAUUUCGACAAAGAAAAGUGUCUUAUUCGACGUCGGAGUACUCCACACUAUCGAUUUCUCCUUUCGCGACGAUCUUCAUUCAUUUCUAGUCUUAGAGAGAGACAGACUUGAAAAGGACUUGUGGAGGGUAAAAGAAAGCAUGAGCCUACGUAAGGGAAUCUAGAUGCCUAUUGAUGGAAUUGGAAAAAAAACACUAGGCUCAAGAGCCGUAUCCUCUCACACUAAUGAGGACUCUCCCAAUCCGGGAUAUAUUAUGUGAUUAUAUAUAUAUAUAUUAUCACGGUCCCAACAGUAUCUUUAUUCAAUUGAAAUAGGAAAAGAUAGGCCCCAUUGAAAAUCAAUCUGUGAUUCCUUUUUACUCUAGGUAUGACUACUUAUCCUUCUGUCUUUGAUUUUUCUUCUUUAUUGGAUAGCCAGUGUAAGUCCUUUUAUCAAGUGUGAAAUUGCACUACUUAUGUAGCACCUUCAAUCUAUCGGGAAAGUUUGAAAAUAGAGCUGAAGCUGUAUAAAAUGCAAAAUAGAAGAAGUUAUAAAGCGCAGGCCCUCCUUCAAUUCAAAGUAAGUAUAGCUCAAGUGGUAAGCACAUCUAGUCUUUCUUAAGCCUUUAUUAUUAUUAUCCUAAUUUCUUUAAUGGGAUGAUCCAUAUGAGGUUGCCCUAGAUGGGAAUAGGUCCAUAGCAGUCUAUAGGAAAAAUUGGAUCUCUGACCCUUAAAAAAAAAAAAUUUUUUAUUGCCUUUUUUAUAGAACUUUUCGAGGGCAGGCACAAGUGGUGGAGCCAAGCCAGUUUCAGUCCUCAAGCAAUCCAGGCAGAUUGGGGUGUAAGGGAGUUUUGAAGUAAGGGUUACGGGGGGGGGGGGGGGGGGGGGGGGGGGGGNNNNNNNNNNNNNNNNNNNNNNNNNNNNNNNNNNNNNNNNNNNNNNNNNNNNNNNNNNNNNNNNNNNNNNNNNNNNNNNNNNNNNNNNNNNNNNNNNNNNCACUACAAUUUCAACUGGAUCUCGGCGGGAAAGGUUCCUUUUGGAAAUUGACUUUCCUUUGUCCGGAUCCUGCCGACCUUUUACUUUGCUGACUUUCCCCACUAGCCUCGCCGGCUUUCAAAAGAGAUUUCCUAUCGAUAAGAAAAGGUACUUCCAUUGAAUGUAUUUUUCAUUUAAUGUGAGACUUCAGCUUCACAGGCGUGGAUUUGCUUUUUACUGUAUCUCCCACUAGCUGAAUGGACACUCCUACUCGUGGGCAAUGGCUGCAAGGUAACCAACCUUUACCUAUAAUCUUCUAUCAAUGUGGGGGGGGGGGGGGGGCAGAAUACUCUAAUAGGAUUUCUUAUUCAUUCCUCCUUUUUAUUCUAUAGGAGUUAAUGGGUUCCAUUGAUAGAAGAUUAUAGGUAAAGGUUGGUUACCUUGCAGCCAUUGUCCACUCAGUAGGAGUGUCCUUUCAGCUAGUGGGAGAUACAGUAAAAAGCUAAUCCACUCCUGUUGCAGCUGAAGUCUCUCUUUAAAUGAAAAUCAAUUCAAAUGGAAGUACCUUUUUCUUAUCGUAGGAAAUCUCUUUUGAAAGCCGGCGAGGCUAGUGGGAAAGUCAGCAAAGUAAAGGUCGGCAGGAUCGGACAAAGGAAAGUCAAUUUCAAAAGGACCUUUCCACGCUGAGAUCCAGUUGAAAUUGUAGUGUAAGUUGGAGAAAAAAAGACAGUUCCCUACUUUUGCGAGUAACAUAGUCCCUCUUCGCUUUGCUCGAGUCACUUCGUCCCUAUCAAUGUUUGUAUACAAAGGUGAAAGGAGGUCAAAGUGAUAGGGUUGGGGAAAGGAAUGAGUAUGACCCCAGAGCUAACAUAGGGCAGCCCUAUUCUCUCAUUUCCUAGAGCGAGCGAGAGAAGAGGGGGUACUUUCUAUAAGCGGGAAUUCUUUCAUUCUUUCCCACCAGCCUUAGUAGAAGUCCCGGGGGUUGGAGUUGCAGUUCCUGUCUCUAAGUAUUCUAUAGCCAGUGCUAAAGGUUUUAUUCCCUCUAUUGAAAAUUCAAAAUGGAAAGGUUGAAAGGAUAAAAUAGGCUCCGGAUUAGCAACCCAUGAAUCUGUUACAGCUAGAGUUGCUUUCGAUUUCCAUCAAAAUGUCCAGCCAAUCGAUAGGGUCCAAAGGAUAGAAUAGGUUACAUAUCAGGACUCCCUUUUCUACCAAUGAUAGGGUGUCUGCCAUGAAUACCAGGGCAACUAAUUGAAUAACCGCUAGAGCUUUUUUAUGGAGGAUAAGGAGGAUAAAGUAAUAAAACUUUCCCCAAAAAGCGAGGGACUACUCGGACUUACUGCAUGUGAAAAAGCAUUCCUACUUUAACAAGGACAUCGGAAAAGUGCAUUCUAGUGCAUCGAUAGUUGGUUAUAAGUCCAAAGCUAAAGCUGGUUUUGGAGAGGCUCCACGGGCUAGGGCACAUGGGUAGAGUAUGCUUGCUUCUUAUCUGGGCAAUUUUUUUCUCUUGUACUAAGUAAUUACAUAGAAGUACGGAAGGAUAAUAUAAAUAAAGUUCCUUGAAUUCGAUUGGAGUUCUAUUUGAGUGGUAAAGCCUUAUCGUUAGGAGUUCCAUUCCAUAUAGUUCCAAGCCAGUUUCACCAACCCAACCUGUGAGUAAGCCAGACGAGAAAUAGAGAUAUAAAAUCUCUCAAUGAAUCUUAAGAUCCUAUCAUUCGGCAAAAAAGAAGUAGGCAAGGGCUAAUCCAACUUAGCUAUACAAAGGGAUCCUCACCGAAAACUUUGUUUACCUGCUAUGGGCUAUGGGGUACUCGCCAAUUCAGAAAACAUAGCCACAGAGAGUUUAUCAUAAGGCCUAUCCAGAGCUAGCUUUCCUCGGGUGUGAUUCAAUGUUUCGUUCCCAUUGAUCUAAGAGCUGGUUGAAAGGUCUUCCUCGGGGCCUUAAGGUAAUGUUUUUUUAUAGAAUAGGGUUAUCCCCUUUUUGGGGGUAACUAAUAGAAUACAUUUCUACUAAAAUAUACUUUUUAUUACCAGUUUCCUUAUAUACAAGGGAGUCUUAAGCCCUGCUAGCCUAUCCAAUUUCAGUUGCUGGGGGGUUCCCCGCUAGAGGGCUCGGGGUUAUUGCAGUAUUCAGCUAAGGUCUGUAAGCGAUUGGGCCUUCCAUGUGUGAAGUGACUAAGGUACUUUUUUGAAUCUUUUCAACAAGUGCGAGUUUCCCGCCAUACAUUUUUAGAAAGCUAAAGCGAGUGGGAGAAGUGAAGUGGGACUUUCCUUACAUGCAGUACCCUUUCUUCUCGCUAGGAGUUCUUGUUCUUCUGCUCUCCCAGCCUGUCGCAGUUUGAUAAGAUAGUUGCUUACUGUAGCAAGUCAGUUUGUCAAUCCAGCCGAGUGCGAAAAGGGAGGAAUUCUAUAAAUACUCGAAUUCAAAAUGAUCCAAUUUCUUUCUUUUUUUUAUUAUAGAUUAUUGAAUAGGUAAUAUGCUUUUUUGGAGGACUCCUAUCAUAUGCCUUCCCCAUUCCAUAUGUAUGUAAGACUGCUAUAAUACGCUUUUUUUUGGUCCAUAAGAGGGUUUGCUUUCUUUCCCUACCCCAUUGCUAUAAUAGGUUUUUGUAGCACUACUCCAAUAGGUCCUAAUCUUCCCAUAUCCCCUAUACGGAUGAAAUACCUGGGUCUUAAGCCACCCAUAGAAUUACAGUAUGAAUAGAGGGCCUUGUGUAAGCUAUUGUCUAAUCCUCUUUGCUUUGUAAAAAGCCCAGCCCUAAACGAUGCUAGUCAUAUAGCAGCUUCCGAAGCAGGGUAAAGCGGAAAAGAAUAUGAAUGACUAUCCGCCUUUGACUUUUCUUCCUCUCGAACCAGUGAAAGUGUCUUUUCUUUGAGGCAUACGAUCGGUCUAUGCCAAUUACAGUUGGAGGCCUAAGGCUUUUCUUAUUUUAUUACCUUCCUUUAUAGCCCAGUUAAGCAUAUGCAGAAAGGACAAGCCUAGUCACUUCAAAGUGAGUGUGAACAUCUUAUCCUAUAGGCCUUAAAGUAAAUAGACGCAAUAUCUCUUCAUCUAUCGAGCCAGCUUAGAGCUUAUAGAAUCUCCCAGGCUGUAUAUAGCCCGCCGCAUAUUAUGAAGUUUUGACUCCCCUGGUGAAUACCAAUCCCUGUAAUAAUAAAAACUCUAGUAGGAAAAAUGUUAAUAAGAAUGAAAGUACUAACAAGCUAACUUGGAACGCUCCCCUCGAUUCUAGCCAAUUCAUUCCGUGUGAGGUCCCUGUCAUCUUACUAUACUCCUUUUUCCAUGCCAAGUCUAAUCUCUAAGAUGGAUUCUGCUUUCCCGUCGAUUUCAGUUCUCUUGAGACUUCUGUUACAUACCUUCUAGCUGGGUAAGCCCCGUAAGACAUUGUGUAGCGUGUUGGAGUUCGGUGAAAGCAGUGACACCGCUUACGAGAUCAAGGGAGGAUUGAAAAGUUAUAAAAUCUUUCACAGAUAAAAAAUAGGAGCGAUUACUGAUUCAAUCACACCAUCACAGCUACUAUCACUCUAAGAACGGGUAUUCAUACCAGAGCUCCUGGGCAAAGAAAGUCAAGCAGGAUCGGAUUCAGUUCCCUUUCUAGCGGCGGUUCCUUAUUCAAUUGUAAGUGGUACUCUUGAUUCAAUUCCACCAAACCUGAAAACUGUUCCAUAGGAGCGAAGCAGCUCGAACGAAGUGAGAGAUCAGCGAAGCAUUCGAGUCCUUUUCUUUAUAUAUGAUGUCACUUCUUUCCCCUGCUUUUAGUGAAGUUCCGAGCCUGAGUUCAAUCCCCAAAACCAAAAGUCCAUCCCAGCUGUCAAAAGAUCUACGUGCGGAUAAGGGGCGAAGAGGCUUUAUGCUGAAAAUUCCAGUUAUUCCUCUAAAAAAAAUCCCCUUAUUCUAUUCCUCAAGUCCCACAUCGACUUGAUGCCAUCUUCAUGAAGGAGAAUGUCCCAAAAGCUUCUGCUAAGAUUAACUAUACAAAAUCGGAUGCUGUCAAACUUGCCUUAGUGCAGUUAUUUUCUUUACUUUCUCUCAGUGAAGUUCCUAAAUAGGAAUAUUUGGCAUUAGCUUUAACUUUAAACAAGCUCUCGAUUCAAAAUUUCUCGAGUAAGAUGAAUGUGUAGCUUCUUCUCAAGCAGUAGCACCGGCAACUCAAACAGUCUUCUAUCCAACACCGGUUACUAAAAUUUUACAAGAGCUCCUAAUGGAACAAUUACCUAUUCUAUCUGAUUCGCUGCCAAUACCCGUAUUCAGAUUAAAUUGCUAUCAGUUCUAAGCCUUAGUCAUCUAUUCGAUCAAUGCGGCCUUACUCUAACAAGUAAGCAAGUAAACUACCUUACGACUGUUCUUUAAUCAAUUAUUUUAUUUGCCGCCUAGGAAGGAAGAGCUAAUCUUUAUACUCUACCAGUUUUAUGAAAUAUCGAGUUACCUGCUAAUUCAUCUGCACAGCGCUUAUUCACCAUCAGGAAAGACAGGAAAUCCAGUAUUUUGGGUAAGGUAAGAGGCAACUAACAUGCUAACAGCAGCCUAUUAUGAUUCAAGUGCAAAACCUUUUUGUCCAAUUGCUUUCUAUUCCUCGGUAAGCGGUUUUUUCUAUUUGCCGACAAGCAGCUCUGCGGGGAAUCGAGAAAAGAGCUUAUUUCAAGCAAGCAGUCCCGCUACUUGCUUUCUUAGUUAUCAAAUUAUCUUCUAGUCCUCCUUCCCGUAACCGAAAGUCACUCUCGCUUAACUGACAUAGCAUUUAACGAUUUGCCGACGUCGGGAAAUUGAAAAUCAGUCUUACCUGUCCGAAGCAUAGAAAGUAAGAAAGGUACGAAAGGACGGCAUAGUCUGUCCCUUAGUGGAAGCGUGAAAGCUCAAUCCCAUCUGUUCAUGUUCACAAAGACAGUUGCAAGAAUCGGAGGAUGCGCAAGAAUGAAUAUAUGCGGAGAAUCCCUUAUUACUGCUACUAGCACUAAGACUACUAAGACGAAUUCCGUCUAGUAAGCCUAGAGGUCUUACAGAUGCUGUUGAGAAUCGUCAUUAGGAAAGAAAGGCUGCCCUUCGUGCUCCACAGUCUCAUAUAACAUAGGUAAAUGGCAUCUUUCUUCUGCCUAAGAAGUGCAAUCCGGUGAAGGAAAGCAGUAAAGCAGCAUGCCGGUAAGAAGCGGAAUCGAAAAAAGAGAAAUUUGCCAUUCCCUAACCUAUCUAUAUAUACAAGGGAAAGCCGAAACCUUACUCGGGGGCAAAGGUUCAUAGCGCUUACCAUUCUUUGUGAUUGCUUAUUCGAAGUAGGCCGACUUUCCGCUUAACAGCUCCAUCCGGCAAAGAAGCCCUUCAGAUUCAAUUGCGACAAGAGCGUAUUCUUUCCCUUCAAAGCAAAGAGGGCAUUCUCGGCAUCAAGACUAGUUGCCUUUCUUGCUCUCAUUCCCACUUUCUACUAAGGUAAUUUAUAGCUGACUCUUUAGAGUAAGGAAAAAGCCAACAACUCGAAAGGCGAUUCAAUCGAUUCCUAACAUCUGAUCGGCGAUUGUGAAAAAAGAAUAGGAGUCCUUUAGCCUUCAGUCAAUAGGAGUAAUUCUUCCCUCUAGUGGGUCAGUCAGUCUUUAAAUGUGUUCGAAGAGAAACAGUCUCUUUCGAGACCUUCGUCUGCCGCUAUCUUUCAUGCCUUAUCUUUUUUUUUUGUUCUAAACCGGUCGUUUGUUAGGAUCUUCUCGCCGUAACCAGUAAACGGCUUAUCCGCCGUUUCAUUCGCAUUAUCGUGAGCGGGUCUGGCGAACUACCCUUUCACUGGUUCUAGCUACUAUUGGAUUUGAACCCUAGCUUAGCACUCCCUCUUGUUAUUGUUAGGGAUAUACUACCCGUCUAAUCUUGAUUCUCCCUUACAGACCUGCAGACAGACCUAAUAUACGCAAUUCCUCGAUUCAUUAACGUGCAAGAGAAAGCGAUCCACAAGAGGGUUCGUUUAUCUAACACUUACCCACUAUCGGCUUCAAGCAACUAUCGAUGUAGACUGAGAACCUAUUGUAUAAGGUUUGACUAUGUGUGAGAAUUUGUUUACAAUUUUUUCACAUACUCGAUUUACCUAGGAAGUCCUGAUAGAGCAACAACAGCUGGAAUUGGACCGUGGGGUACUAAUCCUUCAGACUUUCUCAAUCCAGGUAACUCCUCCUCCAUUACUUACUGACAAACGGAUCCAGGUAGCUCAGAUCUAGCUAGGUUAGACGGUUCGGUCUUAGAUGGUUCGCUUGGUGUAGUGUGUUAGGGAUAGCUGAACAGAGCAGAACGACUUCUCGCUGUGUGUCUAGUAGAACCCGAAGCAUUGACAUUGAAAGAAAGAACAAAGAAAAGGAUUUACCUAUAGGAGUCUAGAAAAAUCGACUACUCGAAACUCAACUCAUAUCGGAGCAUGGAAAGAGUACUGGAUAGAAAGCCUAUGGUAUCUAUGCCUGCGGAAGUCAGCUAUUCAUUUCCAGGGAGUUCAGAUCUAGGUUAUAAGGUUCAGUUCGCUUGCUUCACUUCAUCAAGGAGUUGAGUUGGGCUGCUCUUUCCCUGCGGAAAGUCAAUCAAUGCAGGCACCUUUCUUCGCUUAGUAGCACUACUCUUCCUUCCUAUAGGGCUUAGGUUAGGGCCUGCUUCUUUAGCACAUAGCUAGUUUGAAGCUCAAACUACGACUGGGGAAUUCUCAAGCUAUGGGUCUUCCAAUCAAUCUUUGUGAGAAGCCUCUGUUCCUAUAUAUGUAAUAGGGUAGGGACAAGAGAAAGAAGCAGGAAUGGUACCAAUGGCACUUAUCCGGAUUCCUAUUGCUUUGUCUCUAACUGGGAUUAGUGAGACCCGGAAGGUAAAGGCAAAAAAUCUAACACACUGUUAGGUGACCUGCCAUACACGACCUGAAAUGGGGACUUCCUAGUAGACCGAUUUAUCGAACUGUUAUAAGCGAAUUCCGCUUGGGGUAUCGCCAGAUCCCCUAGUACUGAGUGGUUAUCUUUUCCCCUGCAAUACUCCUCAACCAAUUUCCCAAACAGCGGUUCACGACUUCCGUUUGACCAUCUGUUUGUGGGUGGUAUGCACUGCGGAACUCUAGUAUAGUUCCUAACUUUUUCCAUCAAGUUCUCCAGAAGUGAGCCAAAAACUGGCCGGUCAGACGUCAUAGUCUUUGGUACCCCAUGGAACCUGACAACCUCUUAAGAAACUGGUAUGCAAUGUGAAUAGCAUCGGAAGUCUUCUUACAAGGAAUAACGUGAGCUUUUUUGGUUUAGAAAACCGAUCUACUACCACAAAAAUCGAAUUGUUACCAAGCCCUGUCCUGGGCAAGCCCUGCACCAAAUCCAUGCUGAUAUCAGUCCAAGGCGCUACUGGAACAGGUAAAGGGGUGUACAGUCCGGUAUUCUGUGUCUGCCCCUUUGAUAGUUGGCAUACCCAGCAUCUGGAAAGCGCUGGUUCGAGCCCAGCUCGUGACAAGGCCUUUUGAAAGAACUUCCGAAACCAGGAGUCUUGUAAUUUUAGCAACUCUCGUUAUAACAGGUUUUAGUGGACCUGCUCUUUUUGGUCUUUUUCACUGCUCCGAAGGCAUAGAGAACUUGCUUUUGGUGGGAUUCAUAGUAUGCUUUUUUCGGGGAUUUCCUGGUAUUUAUCGGAGCUAGCCUGCUUUGAAGGACCCACGGUGCGGUACACUGAACACCACAUCUCGACCAGCUCGUCCCAGCGGAACAACCAAACCACUUUACUUUUUCCAAUCUUUCCUUUCUAUAGUAGGUCGGGACUGAGACUGGCGGUGAAAAAAAAAAGAGUGAUGGCAGAGGAUAGUUCACCCAAAAGGCACUAUAUAAAGAUUUAUUUCGUAUAGCUCAGAAAGCGGAGGAGAGGCUGUUAGAGAAGAUCUAGGCAGAAUGGAAUAAACGAGAGUUUUAGAUAUCAUAUUGGUGGUGGGUUAUGGUGCCCAUUCCUUGCUGCCUGCUUAGUAGCCCUUAACGAAUUCCUUAAAAAGGAUCAAACUGCCCCUCGCAUUUCUAGGUGAAAGCUUUUUUUGUUCUAAAUUUCCCUUGUUUUCUUUCAUCCUACCCUUGCUAUCUUUUUUGGUUUAGGCUUUUUAUUGAUCUUUAGGGAAAAGAGAUCCAGUUCCUGCUAUAUCUUUUGCAAUUGCUCCUUGGUCUGGGGUUUACCUUCCGUCUUUGAAUUUUAUGGAUUGAUCCGCCAUUGCGUAAUGCCUUUUUUCUUUCUGUAAAUUCAAGAUAAAGAGGAUUUCCGCUUAGCCCGCCCCUAGCUCUCAGUGCGAAGUCUUUGAUUCUCUACUGCUUUCUCUAAUGCUAGCUCUCGGUUGAUUGAGUCUAGUCAAAAAACAAAGGAAACUUUAGUGGUUCCUGGAAUCCAUAGGGUAAAUAAAUGUGCCAUGGCCCCUUUGAAGGCCUAGUGUAGACUACUUUCAUUCCACUUUCUUCUAUAUAGUCCUUUCCUUAUGCGCGUACAGUCUUUUCGCGCUACGCUAGGAUGCUUAUAUCCAUUGCUUGCAUUCUUCUUCCCUCUCUAUUUGAUUUGCUUCCUUUGGAGUUUGAGCUUAGCCAUCUCUUCCAGUGUCCUGUGCCCUUGUCUUUCGCUCUAUGGCAGCAAAGGAUGCGCUUAUUCAGGGACGUUCAAAGCAGCGUGGUAGAUCAACACGGUUAUAUAAUAAGGGGAGCAGAAAGAAAGCAUCCAUCCAAGAAUGAGGGUUUACUUUCAAGGAUAUCUCCGUCCGAGACAUCAAUGGAUAGGAUUGAGGUAACCCAUUUAACCUAGUACCCCGAAGGCGGAGCGAAGGCUCUCCCUUGACAGAGAGCCACGCAUCUGAAAAAUCCUGAGCAUAGUGUCCUUCACGGAUAUGGGAUAAGCUGCUUUCCUAUGUUUCACAUCCACAACAAGAGAAGAAUCGCCAGCAAUCAUAACAUACCGACACAAUGAGGGCAGCACAUAGAGAUAAUCCUUCAAGCACUGACUAGAACUCGCACGAGCGGUAGAAAGGCAUAAUUCUCUGAUAAAAAAGUCUUCUUUUUGAAACUCCUUUUUGUUUUAGCUAUUUGCUAUUUUCUUUCGGCGUCGGAGAGGAAGCUGUUGUUUGAUAGAAAGUUCGCUUCCCCGUGAUUUGACAGGAAAAAAAGUGGUUCGAAUCCACUGACAUCAUUCAAGGAGAGGAGACAAAAUGUAAAAUGGACCGCAUUAUAUAGGGCGCGCGCUAUAGAAAGACAUGUGGCUGUGGAAUAGGACGGACACCUAUAUCGAACCUGUCCGGCCUUCUCACGGAUACCCCCCGCAACCAAUGUGGGCUAGUAGAGGCCGGAGGUCCACUUGCUUCUAACGUUCUGCACCUUCUAACAUCCAUCUCGAAAUGAGCUACCUCGUUAUGUUUUUUGCUUUUCUUCUUCAUCUCCUUCGUCUCCUCUUCAAUCGGAAGAGAGCACUCCAACUUCUAUACGUUAUUCCGUCCGCGUCUUUGAAGAAGAAACGGUAAGAUCCUUACAGCCCCUCAUAUCAUAGAAAGGGACAAGCCCUUCUCGGCAUGAUCCGAGGUUUCUUUGACAAGCGGAGCGAUCAAAAAGGGCUUAGCGCAACUAUGGGCAUUAAGGGAAGGCUUCUCAGUCAUUCAGGCACGUAUCUUUGGCACCCCUGCCAUAAAUGAAACUUCUUCCAACAUGUUGACUUCUAUUCUAAUAGGCUGACUUUCAAUGCAAGAAUAUUUGAUUGAAGUAAGUAAGUUAAUAAUAAAAAAGUGCUUUCAUAAGUAUACUGUUAGCAAGAAGACUGGGGCCCCUUCCCCUGCAGUAAAGGUAAUUGAAUUCCCUACUAGCUCAGUCAAGAGAAAACCGGAGUUCGGGGCCUCUCGGCUUUCAUGAUCCGAUCGGUCUAAAAGGACACGGCUCGGGACUGACUUGUCUCCUAUAUCUUGUAGGAUGAUUAGGUCGGCUAGGCAUAGUGUUGCUUGGGCUGCUGUCUUUAAGCAUUUGGGUUUGAAGGAUUUUAGGGCGUCUUUGAGGGUUGUAGGUGCGGGUUACCGCACCUUCUCUCGAGAUGCUCUUGCCUUUUCUCCUAGUGUUUCUAGGCACUGGUUCAAGCAUGCUUUAGUUAUGUAUGCUCCUGGUGGUCCCCAUCCUUUACCUUUCUCGUUGUGGUUGGCAUUUCCCACUUUCGUCGGUGUGAACUGCUACCAUAUAGGAAUGGUAAGGUCAAAGUGAAGAUCCGCUUGUCGUCCGGAUUGGCGCUAUAUUGAGCGUUCGCUCGACAUUUAUAGAGUCUCGCUCCAGGGGAAGCAUAGGUUCUUUAUAUUUAAAGAAUCAAUGCAGCAUGCGUAGAAAAGUCCUUGACUAUACAGGGCGCUCCUGCGCACCCAGCCAGCUAGUUCCCUAGACUUGUGUAAUAGGCUUUAUCCGUUGGUAGGCAAUUCUUAUAGCAAGCAUUGGCUUGGCGCGAUCCUUUUUUAUUCUUGUUUAGGCGUAGGCGCUACCCUUUCUUUCUACCAUUUAUUUGGCUUAAGCGUGGGUAUCGUGGGAUGUCCCAGCCACAAAGCAUUAAUUGGAGGCCGGGGCAGAAGCAGAAGGAAGGACUGGAAAGCAAAGCCUACUUUCGAAAGACUUUUUCUAUUAUAAAAUGAGCAACGUACGAUAAGCAAGGGUCCUCGGUUAGAAAGAAGUACUCGUUGAAUGGGAGUGGUACAGACUUAUACCGAUCUAUCAUCACACCAGCAGGCUUUCUCUCAUCAAGAAAAUAGGUAGCCCUUUACUAAUCUAUGGAUGAAUUCCGUUAAGCAAUUUCCCUCACUCGUCUAAAGGCAGUUUGCGGUCAAUAGCCAACCAAAGCCCAAGCCCGAAGAAGGGUUGCUUACUCAAUAGGGCGUAAAAAAGACUUUGAGCUUUUUUCUGAUCACACGAUAUUCUUUUACAUUACAAGUUAGGGAUGAGUUCCUUUACCAGGUGACCCCCUCGAAGAAACGACGAACUAUAUCUCUAGUAGGAUCAGAUCAAAUAAAGCACCGGCAUUCUCAAGAUUAGUAAACUGAUUGACUUAUUCCACCGAAACUUCCAUUGUAGAAAAGACUGAACCAAAGGCACUUCUUCCCCCGACCUUUCGAUGGUCAACCAAAUAGGGAAGCUUCGGUAAUAAGGCAAGCCCGUCUAGUAGCCAGUCCUGUCAGUGAGUGGGCCUAUGCGAGUGAGAGGCGGUCUGAUGUCUGAGAGUCUGAAGUCUGAGAGACGUUACUGGACCGGUUUAGGAAGGAGAAGUCACUGAGGAAGCCGUCACCACAAGAGCCAGCAGCCAUUCAAACGUAUGCGCUAACAGCAAGUGGAUUCCCGUCUGUUGCAAGAAGAUUCCCAUCUGUUAAUGAGCUUUCUCAAUUGGAAAUAUAGUCUAGUAAGAAAGCAAUUCCUCCUCCGACUCCGAUUGACGAGAAAGAGUCCUAUGAGCAUGAGAAAGUGAAGUAAGUAGUUCCGCUAAGUAGAUGCCCAGCCCGAGGUGAGAGCCCGGCCAGGCAUGAGAAAAAGCCUUAUCCUUUCUUCCCCUGUAGCUCUGUGACUUCCAUUCCCGAAAGUGAGGUGCGAAGCGGAAGCGAACCCAGCUGUUGCAGUUACGGUGCACAGUUCUUAUUGGGAAGUGGAUGUAACGACUGUCAGCGAGCCGAGCCAUAGGUGAUUGUUGAUGGCAAGUUUCAGUAGUCUGCCAUGUAUAGUGGUCCUAGCCAGCUGAUGUAAUCUAAUCCUCUGAUCAUGGAAAAUAGUCCAAAAAGACGGGCUUUCGUCAAGGCUUUCUUCUUAGUUUGAUGGGCGCUUGCCCGAAAUAGGGUAUCUUACGGGAAAAGUUGAUAUGAUAAAGGGCGGAAGUGGUCCUAUCUCCUAUGUGGGUGGGCCAGAGGCUUCGGUUUGAACGUUGUUCUCCUUCAUUUCAAGCUUAGGAACAAUGGGUACAUCAGGGGAUACAAAAGUAGGAAAUGCUUAUGCUCGGAGUACGGCUUGAUUACCAUAAUCAGUCCAGGUCCAGCUACUGCGGCUUCCUUUUCCGCUUGUAGAUUCUGACCUCGAUUUACAAUCCCCAUCCUGCCUCAUGCUAGUCCUUUCUUUUAGAUGCGCUUGUUCUUAUCGUAAAGUCUGCCGGCGAAAGGCUGACUCCGCUACUUAUUAAGUUAAGGCCUAUCUGCCUGCAUUUGUUGCCUAGUUUCCUUGGUCACUCACCUUGAAGUAGGUCCCUCUCAGUAAGGCUUCCUUCGAGAUGGGCUUCUCCCUUAGUUCCUGAUCAUGAGAGAGAAGAACCAACCGUAAAAUCUAAGAGUUCUUGUUUGAGUUCUUGGUUCGAGUGAGGGUUCCCAGUUCAAGUGCCAGCGCUUACUCUAUUGAAGAAAGGACUGACUGAACUGAAACUGAAGGAGAAAGUGUCACUUACCUGCCUGCAGCGGGGAGCGACCGAUCAGAUCUCCGGUCUUCUAGAGGCAUCAAGUCAGAAUAGAGAGGUCCAUCCGCAAAAAGACUUUACAAAAUGGUACCAUUAAGCCAAACGACGGGGUCCAGAGCUAUAGAAGGAGUGUCACUUGGAGUCAGUUACAGACAAGAGGGAAAGGGAAAGACGAACUUCUAAGUUAGUUAAAAGAGCAUUCUUUUUCGCCGGGCCUUAGCAAAGCGAAGAUUCAACUCCCUCUUCUUCGACGAUCGCUACUCGUUUUAGUUGCAUUAGCAAGGGUUCGCCGACUACUGCUCAUUCGUAGCUCACACUAGACUCUCGCGGAAAAGGAGUAGAACUUGAGGGCUCAGACUAUUCAUUCACAGAUAAGUUCACCUAAGAAGGGGCGAACGCUACUUAGAAGUGACGGUCAAAGUUUGGGUGCCAAAGAAGGUUUCCUAGGCAGGGCAGAAAGUCGUAUAGCCUUAGUCGCCAUGGAGUUUUAUUGCUUGCCCUGGGCCUCUGGCGUAAAAGGAUUCGCACCUUUGCUAGCCCGGUCCCAAUGAACCGAUCAAUGUCUGCCACGUCUGUUUCUCCGACUACAGCUGGUGAACCGAGAACUCCUUCUUAUAAGGUAUAAGCUUCUUCGAGAGGAGGUUGAGAGAAAGCUGCUUCCUAUAACUAAGAAGGCAAUCUUGGGGGAAGAGUGACCCCCCUAUGAAAGAAGAUUCACUCCUGUUUGAAGGGUCGGCCAAAGAAUGGAAAGAUUGAUUCUCACUGACUGACUUAGGGGGAAGACUCGUGAACCUUUCCGCAGCGAUGGAGUGAGUAAGGGAGAAGACUCGGUCACCUAAACCAAUAAAAAGGGAUGUCGUUAUUCACCCGAUGAAUAAAACAGGGUACAAACUCACGACACAUGAUAGGAGCAGUUAGCCUAAUAAGGGAGGACCUAUACGCACGCAGUUCCGGUCAAAGAUCGGUACCACCUUACCUUACUUCAUUCACCGCGAACUGAUUCUUAGAAGGUAUCAGCUGAUGAAGAAGUCAAGCCCAUUUCUCUUCCUAAGAAGUCAGGCUUUAGGGCAAAUAAGUCCCCGGUUAAAAGCUUCAAAACUGGCCUUUUCAUGCUCCGCAGAGGCCUUGGAACGAACGAAAGCUUCUUCCAGAUCUGAUUGAGUGAACAUACCGAGCACUUAAAAGUAGGGCAUUGGAUGGGACAAGCCGCUUCCUUUAAGCCGAGAGGGGGUCGUCGCUAAGCCUUAGCUUAAAGGCCGCUCCUUUCUUUAGCAAGGAUGAAACUUCCAAUGUCACCGACACCAAAAACCUUCCUAGCUUGGACAAGAUCAAGUCAGAUAUAGUUCGAAUAGGAUUCAAUCCAGCCCCAAGCGUACCAGGGGCUACCCUGUUUACCGGAUCCGUAGAGGUCUGUCCGUCCGGCGUCGGUCCCUCAAAAUCUUUAAUUAGGGCGGCACCCCGGUUUUUGAGUGCUACCUUCACGGUAAAUAAAUGUGGGCGGUUGAGGGGCAGCUGACCGAAAGGAAAGCAGGUAGACCGCCCAUGCUUUUUUUUGAGAAGAUCAGAAUACGUCCCUUAGGGAACAAAGAAAUAGGAAAUGCUGCUAUUUGUUAUUGCUAUAGAUUGACUGACCGCCUAAUGGUCCGUCGGUGCGCUCAUUUCGAAUUUCUUUGUACCGCCCUUCAGGGCACCAGAGAAAGAGCGGAUCCAAUACCAAUACGCCUAGAAAGAGCACUUAUAAAAAAAUAUGCUAUUUAUAUAGCAGAAGCGCCCCAAGCGGAACCGUGCUCUCGAACGAACCUAGCGGUCGGGUAUUAAGAAGAGAAAUAAGAGACCAUAGGAGCCGGGGUUUUUCUAUAACAAGCCAAAAGAGCAGAGGAACGUGGUGAACCAUGCCGAGUCGGGCCUGAAGAACCGUAGUAUCGUGCUAAGCCUAUCAAGCCAAGGUUGAGUGAAGGAAUACAAGAAUUUAGCCAAGGGGAACGGGGUUAGAAGGACAACAAAUUGAGUCUUGGGUCUCCGGUGGUAGGUAUCAGUCACUAGGCACAUAGGUAAAGGUUGAAAACCGUUAGCAAGGCUACGAACCUUCUCGAAGGCUUAUAGAAGAGUGCUUCCUUCUCAGAUCAAUAUACCUUAAUAGGAUGAUGCUUGAACUGGAUUAUAAAAAGAAGGGGAGUACCCGAGGGAAUAAGCCAAGGCAAGUGCCAUAGAUUUAGCUGUUGUCGGAAGUUUCAAGUAGACUAGAAAAGGGAGGAAGCUCAAGGCGAUAGGCAUAGUGGAAAUUCAUCCUGAAUCUGUUCACACGAAUUGUUCAAGGUUGGAGGAAAAAGCACUACUAUUGAAUCGAAUCUCCUGUUGUUGAGGAAUGGUAGAUGGGAAAGAUCCUAGACCUAGGGCGAUAAAUGCUUUAUAUCAAUGCCACUGAUCCGUUUAAGACGAAGAAGCUGUUCACUCUCGUUGAAGUUGUCGGCAUUACCCCAGCUAUUGAAUCAGUUUGUGCCAUUGACUCUGUCGUCGUAAUAAGCACUGUUUUUAGGUUGGAAGGCAUAACCCGUCUUUGCUUGCCUACCUUGUUAGGAGUUUUAGUUCAUCCCCGCUUAGGGGAGCGAAGGCACUUACGCAUCCGGAUUCCAUUCCAUUCUUUUUAAGCUCACACCGGGAGAAAGGUUGCUUGCUUUUGGUCAGCUGUUCCCAAGGAGUCUUUCAGAAGAUGUGGCACAAUUUGUUUUGUUAGAAAAGUCCUUGUUUCAUUCAGUUAGUGUUUCUAAUAGGGCAUGAAAAUGCAAGAUUUGAAUUGGUAUAAUAGAAUAAGCGAUCAACGCACGCUUUUGCCCAUAAAUAAAAGAAGUUCACGCAUUGGCAAACAGACUUCAAAAGAGUAGGGAAGUAAAGGAAGGAGAAUACGGAAGUUAGAGACUACUCAGUCAAUAGAUCUUAGAGGACUGGGCACCGUGCAAUAAAAUAGUACAAGACUGGCUAUUGAAGUCAGAGACUCUACUUAUGCUUGCGGAGGGAUGUAAAUGUAAGGACUACUUUUUUGAAUAUUGAAUUCUUUAGCUCCUUUCUUUAGGAGAGCCGGCCUGAAAGGGAAGAGAUAAGAAAAGAAGGAAUAAGUGGUAUAACUCAAAGGAAUAGGUAUAGCUCACAUCUUAAGUAUAGUUAGUUCAUUGAAUGACUUAUUGAGAAGCUAGGCCCUUUCCUCACUCUCUUCUUAAGGCUAGAUCUGCCUUAUUGCUAUUAUUUAUUAUUAGCCGAGAUGGAGACUGUAGUAUCAAGAUUAGAGGGAGGCGGCUUUCUCUCUCUCUACCUCUAGUCAAAAGGCGAUUGUGGACAAGAGAAAGGGUGAGGAACGAACAAGGAGCGGAGGAAAAUGAGGCUUAGGAGAGGUGCGAAUCAGAGCUAGAAGUAGAGGCCGAUGUGAGCAUUCCUCAGAGAAAGGAUAAAUUCCGCAUCGCAUAAGACCCGAAUUGGCCGAUCUCAAGCUAAUGACUAGCCUAUGCCUAUAGAUAGAUCAAUGGAAGACUCUCUUUAUCUUAUAGAAUUUUACUUUUCAAGUAGAGUGUAAAACAUCCUCUGCCUUAGGCAUAAAGAAGUAAAUCGUUUAGCUUUCUUUUUCGGUCGGUCUUUUUCCUUAUCUAACUUAUUAGGAAAUCCGAUCUUGGUCAGACUCCUGAAAACUCGAGAUUAAGUUAGUGUUCAAUCUACUGAUCAUUGGUAGAAGAGAGAAAAAGUAAGCGGGGUGCUUUCUCUCUUCAAGAUGGUCUUUGUUGCGCUUUCCUCUGAAAGUUAUGCCAAUAAUCCCAGUGUAAUCAUUACUCCCAAAACCUCUUUGUCCUUGAAAAAGACCUGAGGAAGGAAUACCAGGGGAUCCUUAAGCAAUAGGAGAUAUUCUGGUUCCAAAAGUCCGUUCAAACUCCUAAGUCAGAAUCCCUACUGGGAACACACACGUUCUAUUGUUGAGGGUUCGUAGGAGGUAUAUUAUGUCACUUCCGAUCCGACUUCGUCACACGAAGGCUCGUUCAGUGAUUCUACGACUCUGUGUGAUCGACUAUCUUCCUUUUCGGGUCCGUUCUUAUACUAAGUACUCCUGUUGAACGAAUAACAACCUCAAACAAAAGACCGGUUGAUUUUUUCACCUUGGGAUUGGAGAUUGGUUCCACUGCUCACUCAUCAAUUAUUCAAGCUUCAAGCAAACCAUAAAGGCAAGCCGAAGAUUGCGAAAAGGUAAUGGAGCCCACUCUUAGGCUCCGAAAGAGCAGUAACCGCCUAGGGCUGGCGGAAGUUCCCGUAGGUAGUGGGGUCGGAGAAUCUCUCUGACUAGGAUGGAUGCUUUCACUCAAUGGGCAAGGAACUUCAUGUCACCUCCACGCUGAUUCAGAAGGUGUUCGGUCUACCGCACCUGCCAACCAUAUCUAUUCCUCGAUGAUUUUGAUUGAAGGUACGCGCGAGAUAGGAAGGACAGCUAGCAUCGGAUUCGGAAGAUGAAAGUUCGAUUCUUGUACUGUGGUACUUUGCCUAUUCACUCUGCUUGCUAUCGCCAAAUAAGGUAAUAAGCCAUGAAAGGAUCGAAAAAGAUAGAGUUAGAGUUCUCAGGGGUAAGUAUCCCGCGCCCGAACCCCCUCUAAUCUCAUCUAUCUCCAUCAAAUGAAAUGAUAGAAAUGAUUCUCCUAGAUUAGAAUAAGUGAUGCACGAAAUCACUCAUGCUCGACCUACUCGGACUAUACUUGAUUACCGACAACCUUUCCCUAUAUUCAUAUUCAAAACUAGCUUAAUCUGAAACUAGUUAUCUUACUCGUCAAUUGGAUCAAUAGGCUAUCACAGAGGUAAAGUAAAGAGGUAAGGAGGCAUAAGUAAAGUCUAUCGAUUCAUCUUUCUUCCCUCCAAAUGAGCCGAUCUAAAGCCAGUUCCUUAGUUUCAGGAAGUAAAGCGGGAGUGACUAGUCUUCCUUCAAAGGCCAGAUGGGUGCCUUCACCUCUGUAAGAACCUUUAUCUCGAAAGAGAUUAGUAAGGCUAAGGUUAUUGUUCUUUAUCGUUUACGAUUCAUUCUGUAAAAAAGGAGCGUAGCGGCAGGCUCGCAGAGCUAAGCCUUCAAGUCCUAUUGUCGGAGAGGUGGGACUUUGUACUCCUAUUCCAUUAUUUAUCCUAUUCCCGAUCGGAUUGAAUAAGCUACUAAUGUUUCAAUCUCUCUCUUUGCUCUUAGUAAUGUAAUGCUAAUGACAUAAAUUCCAUAGCCUACUCCUCACUCUACUUCGGGUUUGAACUCGUCUCGUUCAAUCGCCUUGGCUACUAAAGAAUGGUUGGUAAGAAGGUAGCUAGAGCAGCUUCCAUAAUGCCCGAGGAGGUUGAAUCAAUAGUAACAGAAUAGGCUGUGAUCGUAUCCUCUACACAUGAAUCCAAGCCAAGCGUGAAGGAACUACUUUGAGAGAAGGGUCUUAGGAAGAAUAGGGUGCACAUGAAUAUGAUUCUAAAAAUUCCUUUUCCCUUUGGCCGUAUCCGCUCAAGGCAAGCCUGAAACAAAUCUUGUCGACUCCCGGCACGUACCGCACUCAGUUCUCCUAGGCCCCCUUAUUUUAGUAGGCGCUACAACCGCGCUUCGCAAGACCUUUCGGCAGUGAAAGCUCUAGGAUGCAAGCCCUAUCUUAACGUGCUUCGUGACGUAAUCUGCGAGAGAAUCCAAUGUGGUGGUUAUUGGGUCCUAAACCUAUUAAGCUAGUCAAAAUGAUGGAAGGAGUAAAUUCCUUCUAUGAUCAACUAUUGAUGGCACAAGAUGUAAAGAAGGGUAAGCUUGUGCUUUCACCAGAACGUGGGUUGGAAAGGGCAAGUACCCGGGAUUCCGCUUACUUUAAUAGUAGAAUCAGGUCCUUGGGCAGUACUCGAGGGGGUUUACCUGGUUCAAGUUCUGGUUCCCCCCGUUCCCCAAUGGCAGAUCCUUCUGUUGCCUGACCUUCUUCUGAAGCCUCACCUUCUUCCUUGGUUAUUCAUUCCCCUUCACCCGAUGUUUUAAAUUCUAUGAAGCAUACCCUGGGCUGCUUGGUUAUGGUUUCGGCGAUAAAGCUGAACGUGGACCCAAGUGUUCUAAUGGGAGGGAUACACGAGGUCUUGGACAUGAUAGCUCAGAAUUUACCACUGGAGACAGUGAGAGAGGCGAUCCUCAGUGGUAUUUACGAUACUGGGGUUAGCCCGUCUUCCAUCUAUUAUUAGUCUGCCUAGCCUUCAAAUCGGCUAAGGUACCUUGAAUUUCAAUCGUAGGUAAAGUAGAAAAUUGUGUAUGGUAAGUAGUCCCCUAGCGCUUAUUCGUCAAAAGGCGAUUGCCUUCUUGCUCUAACUCCUCAAGUCAAGUAAGGGUUGAAGUCCCCUUUUGCCUAAGGAGAAGUAGAGGAAGCGUAAAGCCUCCGCCUUUGCGCGCAUUUGAUGCGCUAUUGAAGAAAAGAGCAUUUCUAUCUAAUAAUAAUAAUAUAACAGAACGCUUCGCAUUGGCUAGCUUGCUUGGCCGCACACAUAUAGAUUCAAAUAGCCCAUUCAAGUCGAUUCCGUGGGUUGGAUUACUUCUUUUUGCGAUGAUUCCAAAAUGUCAAGCUUCAAUCGUAUAAUGACGAUAAACGACCAAGUCCUCACUUUCAUCUACAUAUAGUGCAAUCGAGCAAGCAGUCUUUUAUGUAGUACGAUCAAUCAAGCCUACCGCUGAUUGCGCGGCCAUUGAUUUUUCAUUUUUAAGAAGCUCCUCCAAACUAGAAUUCGGGAGUUUUUCCAACUAUACCCACUCUAAAAAAAAGAGAUCAACAACUUCUUUUGAAUGAAAUUCCUUAUUUAUUGAAGAAAGUUCCUUUUAUAUUUAAAAGGUAUAAACAAAGGAUGCAAGAAAAAGGGCUUCAUGCCGCUUUGAAGAAAAAUAAAGAAUAAAUGUAGGUAGGUCUUGAUACCGAUUGACUUCACUCUUGAAGAUGCAGAUNNN
rnacentral:lncRNA from 1 species